rnacentral:lncRNA from 1 species
AACUUUCAAGAGAAAGAAAGAAGCAGCUAGGCCGAUAAAAGGAACCCUACAUAUGAAAUGGGCGAGGGCAUUACUGGAAUUGCACGGCCCAACAGUGAGGGCAAAAUCCGGAAAUAUACUGUUUUUUACUGUAGAUGACGUCAUCUCAAAGAAUAGAUAUAUAGUAAAUAGUGGAUUGAGUGUUCAGCCAACAUUAUUCAACCUAAUUACUAUAACUAUGUUGAAAGUAUACCAUCAUACAAUACAAAAGCUACUGACAUCAUGUUAAAAGCUACUAACAUAGAAUGGUAAAAACACUAUAACAGUUGUAGAAGGCUACUAAAUGUAUUCGAAAAGAGCAAACAAAGACAAUGACAAAAAAAGGCAAUUACACAAGCACAGUCGACAUAGAAUUCUCAUAGUGCCAUAGUUGGAGAUAGACAGCAAAUCGGAUUCACCAAUAUAUUCAGCAAAUCAAGACUUUAAUCAUCACUCAACAAACAAAAUUGGAGAUAGACAGAAAAAUACAAGAGACAAAAACUAAUAUCAUACCUUGGAAACAUUUGGCCUCCCUAAAUGAAGAACAUCAAUGACCUGUGUUAAAACUAAAUAACAAAAAUCAAACUCAAUCCUAAUCAACUACUGCAAUGAAAUCACUAAAUAAUUUUCAACAUUUAAGUUCCUCAGAUCACAUAAUUUAGCUCAUAAAACCGUCGAAUAGUAGCAGAAGAUACUACAACAGGAUACUACCACAUGCACACAAAGAUACUAUCACAGCAGCAGAAAGAUACUGCGACAAUUAUGGAAAGCUACUAUCACUGUAUCAUAGUAUCAACUUGUUCCGAUUAAAACCAGUGGCAUACCAAUAAACCUUUAUCACACUAAUCCGAUUAAAACUUGUCCAUAACAGAAUUAUGAGCUCUCUGCUUAGCAAACAUCUUCAUCUCUUCCAAGCCCUAAUUCAGUCAAAGAUCUAAGACAUUCAGGCUUCAGUUUCAUCAAUACUACACCACAUAAAGCUCUAUAUCAAUCUAAACGCAACGUAAUCAACACAGAACCAAAUACCUUCAAAUCCCUUCAAAUCCAAAUACCCAGCUUCAAUUAAUGAUAUUACACCACUCACAACUGAUUCGAAACCUUAGUUAAGCUUUGAAAUUGUUUAUUGAUCCCAGCCAAUUUCUGUAUUAAAACAGGAGGAAAACAUAACCAGUAUUCUUAACAAACCGGAUUCUAAAUCCUAACCAAGCACAAACCCAAAACAGCUCAAAUAAAGUUCUCAACAUAAGCUAAUCUUUCUAUCCAAUCGUUCAUUUAAAUCUGCAGACUUGAAAAGUUUAAUAGAACUUAUUUAACUUAAAAAGAUAAUUAGGCAGGUAAAAGCAUUUAAAACCGUAGGAUAACAAUGCCUACGUUUGAAAAGAUAGUGACUGCCAAAGAUCAAAGCAAUUGAGCUAGUACUUACAUUCACCAUCUUUAGGUUCCAGUCAGGUCCAGUUAUCUCUCCAAUUUAGUAUUCGGGUGGCACUUGAUAGCAAAAAGAAGAAGGAAAGAAAGAAAAUCAGAAGGAAAGAAAUACAGUUUUCUUUAUCUGAGUAUAUUGCAUGUAAACUGUAACUUUACCUGAUAAACUGCUAAAAAAUGAAAAUCAAAUCAGCAAGCUAUAUAUUGGAAUCGAUCAUUGAGGUCCUAGACAGCAGGACAGACAAACGCCGAAUCAGCUCAAAUCAGGUAAUGGGAACGGUUAUCCAUCUUGAAAUGAUAAGCUCAAUCUCAAACAGUAUAAAAACCACACAAAAACGGAAUGAAAAAAUUUGAAAAUUCAAAAACACUCAACUUAUCUAUUUGAUCUGAGCAGAGGAUUGGGAAACUUCCCAAAUCUAUAGUCCAACGAAUCCAACUUGGGGAAAAUUUAUAUUGCACUCUUUGCAAUCAAACACCAAAUUUCAUGGCACCAAAAAAAUUUCAAAUGAAAACACAAUAAAAAUUCAAAUGCAAACACAAAAGCCAAUAAAGUCAAGCAUAACAACAUCAAGAAUAUACCUGAAAAACUAACAAAUUGGAACCCACCCAAAAUCAACCAAACUCGACCAGGCACAUGCUAACAAAUCCUCCAUAGAUUUUCACUCAAAGAUAUCUCAUCGGCUCUACACCGAAAGUGAAAAAAAAAAAUGGAUAGAACCAAAAGAAAAGGAUAAGAAAUAUAGACAUUAGAGCACAUAAAAGCAUUGGUUUUCAAAACACUAUCUCUUGUCUUUUAACAUACCCAUCUCAGGAGGGGGGUAAUCAAAGAGUGCCACACAUGGUCCGACUGCGAUUGAGAAUAUAUGCACUGACCACCCCAAAUCUACUAUCUUGAGUUCACCCUGACAUUAGAAAUCCCCAUUGACAUGACAAGCAACAAGUAUGCAUCAAUAAGUCAUAAAAAGGAAACAUAUAACAGCAGAGUAAGGUAUUCAACACCUGUUGACCAAUGAGAAGGUUUUCUGGUUUGAUAUCUAAGUGCUCGGACCAAUGAUGCAACAUACUGCAAAUACCUCAUACGAAAAAAAACAUCAGAAUUUCUAUUCUAUAAACAACUGAAAGACAAUGAAUUCGACACCACAAAAAAUUUACGGUGGCUGCACGUCUUUCACUAAAGUAUUUACACUUUUGGAGUCCCUUGUAUAGUUAACCUUUGGCAGCAUAUUCCAAUAUCAAAUAAACUCCUUUCUGCAAUAAUCAAAAUUCAACUGCAAGGGUGAGUGACUCGUACCAUAGUGGUUCCAUGAACUAGGAGACGUUCAAUUUGGUGCAAACAUAAACCACCUAUGAGCAGUAUACCUGAUCAUAAAAGUAGCCAUACAGACGUAGAAUAUUGGGAUGGCAAAGAUGCCUUUGUAUUUCAACUUCCGGGCGAAGCUGAUGCUCAACCUGAGAUUGUUGCAACAGGUUCUUGAAGAGGACUUUCAGUGCCACUAUGUGAUUGCUCUGUUUCAGGCAUAGAUACAGAUCAAGAACUGUGUAUACACACCAGUAAAAGCAGGUAAACAGAGAGAUACAACACCACGAUGAUGCAUAGCAAACACUCAUUCCCAACUUAAAUUAGCAAAAGGACAUUCCACAUCAUUUGAUAANNNNNNNNNNNNNNNNNNNNUGCAGUUCCUAUCAUCAACCGCAAUAGAAGAUCAACUCCAUAAACCAAUUUAAGACCAGCUCUUUAUAUUCACAAACUUUCCAAAGCAAACACGCAAUUUAUAACCAAUGCACAUUGCACUAUCAACGCCAUAUAUAAUCUGAACCCACAAAAACCCACCAAAAAUUGAAAAGCAGCAUGCUUUAGUACAAUAACGAUUGGAUCAAAUACACCUUAUAAACCCCAACGUAAUUCUAAUUAAACACUUGCUUUGAAAGAAAACAUAUCAAUAAUUAUACCAGUAACCCAAAAACGCAGAACUACCUUCCCUAUUGAAUUUUCCCCUUUUCGGAACUACAAUUCGAAUUAGAAAGAAAGUCCUCGAAAACUACCUCAUCGGCUACUGCCGGAAAAACUGCUUCUUCGCCGGAAUCGAUCCCCGGAUUCUGACCACUUGCCGGAAAUUGGCCAUGACCUCCUCGUAUUCUUCAAAACAUCAAGUUCUCGACAAACAACACCCACAACAACGAUUUCAGCCACAACUAAACUCAAUAACCGCAACAUAAUAACGACACAGCCGAUCAAAACGUAAUCCUUACCUCCAAUCCGCUCGCCACUCGAACCCAGCAACCUCUCCUUGCCAGAGAUUGACCUGCAGCCCUCUGCCUCUCACUGUCCCGACCAGAAAAAUUCCAUCUGCUACCAAACUCCAACCACCUACUCCACUCGGCCGCUGGGUUUGUCAAGAAGUAACCUUGCUUGUCGGAACAGGGAGGAGAGGCCGGAAACGUCAAGAACUCGGUCACCGGAGAUACGCCGUGAAAACCCAAAAACAGAAGAAAAGGGGUUACGAAUCAAAAGAUUAAAGACAUGGAAUCGAAGAAAAAGGAAGGAGGAGAAGAACCCUACCCCUCGCUGUCGCCGUCGGAGCUCGCCGGAAAACCACGAACACAGUCGUGCUUCAGCUGCUUCGAUCUCCCUCUAUGAUGGUUGUAUAUCAAAUCGGUGGGCAGGAGGAAGUAAAGAAGAGAGAGGCAAGUUGAACGACGGUCGCCGAUCGUCCAGCGCCGGUCCGACGGCGGCGGAGGAGCCCUGAGCUGGGUGGCGUCGCUCUCCCUCUCUCUGUGGGCAGGUCUCUCUCUCUCGACAGAAAACAGCAAAGGCAGAGAGGUUAGGGUUUUUACCCAAUAUACCUAGAACCAAUGGCCCAGAUUAGAGAAUCCAAAUGGAGGGCUGAGAUGAAAAACACUUAUGGACCUACCAAUUGGUUUCCUCAAAUAAAAAACCAAUACCGGAACUGGUCUGUUAAUGAUAAGGCUCUUGAUCCGUGCAUGCAAAAUGAGAACCCCUUCAUUCAUUCUGAAGACAACUAACACAUGCAAGAUCGGGGAAGAGAAAAAAAAAAUAUCAGUCAUCUUUCAAUAUUAAUUAGUGUUUCUGAAAAUCCAUCAGUAAGAAACAGCAGAACAAGUAUUUUAUAAGAAAUGACGUAAGAACUUUCAUUUGGUUGAGAAAUAAAUUUAAAGUACUUUAAAGGCCGGUGUACCAAUAAAACAGCAGUUUCUUUUAUGUUGAUGGUUGAAAAGGCAUAUGGUGGUACACUAAAUUCCCUGAAAGCAUGCGGUGUAAUUAUUUACUUGUGUUUUAAAAUAUUGGUCAUCUUAAAGUACAAGUGGAUGUUUGGCCCUCCCAAGAAAAUCCAUGUCAUCUGACCGUCAAUCUAGACCGUUAAAAAAAUGAGGUCGAAAUAGGGUCGACAACAAAACAUAUCGGAUAAUAAAAUGAGUGAUAAUUAAGAGAAACAUUUACUUACUUUUUGCGUAAAAAUUGGCCCAUCCGAGUCUCCCAUGUCCCACACUUAUGCAAUGACACUCCCCUAUAUUUUGAGCCGCCUCUAGGGAACCGGUACUUUGUCGGCAACGUAUAUGCACACAUUCCUCCUUUGUUAAAUUGCUCAUCCGUUCAGCAACAUAUUACAAAAGAAUAUAAUCAAUCUUCCCAUAUCCACAAAAUGACAAACAAAAAAAAUAAAUAAAUAAUUAGAAUAGACAAGUUUUACAGUUGAAGAUAAGUUUAAUAAAAACUAGACCAUAGAGUAAGUUCAGAAGAAAACCACUAUCGAAAAAACUCAGCUUUCUUAAGGCAAGAAUUGAAGGACUCAAGUCAAUACUCACUUGUUUUGAGUCAUCUUCAUAGUCUUCAAUGUCAUCAUUUAUGUCAGCCUCUACUCCCCUUAACUUUGAACUUGAUCGCAGCUCUAUCAUACACUACAGAAAAUAAUUUAUAAUAAGUAACUAACUAAUCAUUAAAAUUUCUACAUGUUCUUGGAGAAUUUUUUUGUUUGUUUCCCCAUAAAAUAUAAAAUUUUUUAUGGCAAGCAAAAUAGUACUCACCAAGCAGCUGCAUGUGCUGUGUCGAAUCAACCUAUAUGGUGUCCAAAACAAAAUAUAAAAAAAAUAAAAAAACCCCAUCAAAAAGACCAACAUGGAUUUAUUUGCAAUGAUAAAACAGGUGUCCUUUUGUCAAUUCAUACUUGCAUCCAUAGAAAAAGAGGUACUGAAACUUCAAAGUGGCAUAUUUCAAUUCGUAGUUGGUGAUAUACUGAUAUACAUACUACUCCCUCACCUUAUAAAACAAGAAAAACCAUGAAUGAUGAUAAGCCAAUUGAGUAUGGUAACACUGUAAAACACACCAUUCAAACCAUAAAGCUGAGCCACAAAGAAACAUUAACAUUGUAGGCAAAGUUGAAAGAAAAGACCUACGUUUUAGAAUAGCUGCAAAGAGAAUAAGCAAGCCUGAAUCUAGAACUACAUAAAAACCAAAAUGCGCAAUUAAUCAAAAACAUAAUUAGUGAGGAAUCUGAAGCAAACAGACAACAACAUUGUAACAAAAAUUGAAAAAGAAAAAAAAAGGAACAGACACCCAUACGGAGAAAUUGAUGUCGUCCAUCUUGAGGAAAAAAAUUAAUAUCAACUCCACAACAACGAAAGCACUUUUUCACUCUUUCAUAUACUAGGGGAUUUCACUUGGAAAAGAAAAUGUUCUAUACUAAUGGAUUCGGGUCCAUAACCAUGGGUUCCAAUGUACGAGACCACAUGGAAAGAGAGAAAUUGGUUGCAAAUGGGUGUUUGCUAAAAAGGAAGGAUCUCAAUAGAACUGCCGAAUCGGAAAAAUUGGGUGCUAUCAUAUAGCUUUGUAUCCGCUAAAUUCGCGAGUUGGAGAUAAGCGGACUCGAACCGCUGACAUCCGCCACAGGGUAAACUACCGCCUCUCAGGCCCCCGACUAAUUCUACCAUAGAGGCCAACGAUAGACAAGAACUGACUCAGACUUAGUACAUACUCCUUUAUUUAUUUUCCAGCACUAUAAAGCAAAUGAAAAUAUCAAACACACUAGAACCACAGUUCGAUCUAAUUGAACGAACCCAAAAGAUUGAAAUCCUUGAUCUAACUAGAAAAAUAUAAAAAUCCAAGCAAAUACCAAAUACAAAUGUGACAAAAUAUAAUUUUUUCACUCACCUUGAUCCAACACCAAGGAUUGAAACCUUUGGAGCUAAUACUGGCUCCAAUUAUCUCUUCAAUUUUGUGAUUGCUUUUGGUAAAUCGAAAAUCAGUGACCUGCGCGCAACCUCAAUGAUAAGAAAAAGUGAUUUAAAUCGUUCUGUUCGGCCCUUAUACACAAAGUCUGAUAGUUAUAGUUGAUCAAUUUCAAAUUGCAUGCAACUUUAUAAAAGAAAUCAUCAAAAUUUUGCAGAACCCCAAAUGUAAAGACAUUAGUUUUAUAUCAAAUAACAUUGUAGGCAAAGUUGAAAGAAAAGACAUACAUAAAGGCUGCAACUGCAAAACAUAUUAACAGGGUAAGGAGUAACCUCUGGAUUUUUUGGUUAAGCUUCGAUUUGAACAGCUGCUUGCUAACCGACUAUGUUAUUUUACACUCCAAUAGGCGUAAUGUGAAUCAUUUCUAGAAUCCUUGUGUCAUUGUAAUUCUAGAAAGAAAAUCUUGGUUUUCUGAGCUUCUUGAAUACAGGAUUGAAGACCAUACUGCAUUUUUCAAAUGUCAAUGAGUCUUUGGGAAGAAAAAAGAAAGGGCCUCAGUAUUGUGUUUGAUAUGACAUAUUUUAAAAAGUUACCUAUCAAUGACAAAGAGACCAAUAACUUACAGCCGAACAACAAUUACUGUAAACAAGUCGAUAAGUAUGAAAUUCCAGGGGAAUCCUCAUCUAAGUAGACUGAAUUACUGAUUGAUUCUAAAUAAGCUCCCUGAAACAGCUAAAAUAUCCAUCAAAACCCCACCUUGACUCUAAAAUAACUUCUAGUAGGUACAAAAAAUUUCCGGCACCAUUAUAUAGCCUUGUUUCCUUGCUUUCAAAACUAUUAAGGAUGCAGAUAGAAGGAAACAUACACAUAGAUGCAACCGCAGCAUGUAUAGCAAACCUAAAACUCACUUUGCUUCAGUUUUCAUAUCUAGUUGGUCCCAAUCCAAUUAAUAACCUUUCCAAAGCACCCAAUUGCACCAUCACGCAAAUCCAUAUAUAACUUGACACCACCAAAAUACACACCUUACAAACCCCAACAUAAUAAAUUCUAAUUAAACAAUGAGCAUGAAAGAAAACAUUAAAUCAAUAAUUAUACCCAGAAUUGGCUUUUGCCAUUCAAAAUCGGCAGCCUCAAAACAAGAUCAAAUUCUGAUUACUAGAUAAAAACCCUAAAUCCAACCACAGCCAAAAUCUCAACCCCCAAUUAUCCUCAACAAUUUCCCAAUUCCCAAACCCAAUUUGACAGAGACUAUCCACAAAUAGGCACAGCAACAGCAACCAAAAUCUGCCCGCAAAAUCAAAAAAUAAAUAGUUAGCCUUAAAGUUUAUACAGUGAACAUAAGGAGACAAAAAUUUCUUAGCUAAUGAAAUAUAAAUCAUAAAAAAUUGAAACAAUCUAAUAAACUUUUCAUAAAACUCUAACCACAGUUUCAACUGGCCGAAUAUUACAGUAAAUUUAUUUGCGAGCAUGUUGGACCAAUAAAAAAGAAUCCAAAACAAACCCGCCACCUGAACACAGAAUACCAUAAAAUUCAUAAUUGAAUAGAAACAAUGAAAAGGAGUUGUGAUGUUGAAGAUGCAUAACAGUCUCUCCCAAAAUAAAUAAAAAAUAAGAGCAAUUCCUACAAUGAAGCAUAUCUUCAUCAUCCCCAGUACACCAUCAUUAACUCAACAAUAAAGCAAUAUUGAGAAAACUGUUUUCUGAGCAAGAUACUUGAAACAUGAUUGAAUUGAAGUUUUAGCCGUCAAUUUAAUCCACAAUACCGCAUAGGAAACAGAUUAUUCGCAUGUAAAAGCUGCAACUGCAAAACAUAUUAACAGACACAGGUAAGGAGUUACCUCUAUCGAUCAAAACAAGAAGAUAUAACAGGUUUUCAUGACGUUAUCUUUGAAUUUAUGAAAUGACAUUAUGAAAUUCCAGGGAAUCCUCAUCGAAGUAAGACUAAAUUACUGAUUGAUUCUAAAUAAGCUUCCUGAGACAGUUUCAAUAUCCAUCAAAACCCCACCCUGACUCUAAAAUAACUUCUAGUAGGUUCCGGCACCAGUUAUAUAGCCUUGUUUCAUUGCCUCCAAAACUAUUUAAGAAGGCAGAUAAAAAGAAACAUACAGAUUCGUUAAUAACAAAACAUUGCUUCACUCAACAAAAGGGUAUAUAAGAAAGAUAAUAUUUGUUUAGUGUUUUUACACGUUUAGUACGUGAGUGAUGGGAUGCAUAUCACUUUGAUGCAGUAGAUAACAUACGGACAUGAAACAUUUUUCAGCAAAGAUGCCUUUAUUGACAAUGCAGACAUUGAAACAACAAAAUAUGCUAAUGAAAUCUGUGAUUUGAUCAAAGUUUUUUCUGUUCCUUUUUGUUUUCUUCUUCUUUCCUAUUAAUUUUGAAAAUACUUGACCAAUUCAAACGUUCAGGAAACUUAGUUGGUAAUUUGUUAUAACAUUACACUUGAUGUCUCUGUUUUAUUCUUAUGCAGAUUGUAAAGAGUUUCAAUUACAGUAUGCUAUCAGAAGGAAUAUGACCACAUUCUAGCUAUUUGGUUAUAUGAUAUAAUCAUGCCCAACUGACAUGGACUUGACACGAAUUACAGUAUGCUAUCAGAAGGAAUAGUUCAUAGAUAGCUAACCGUACAAAGUUGAAAACCAAUCAUGUCCUGACGGACAAAAUACACAAGACUCUGUGUGGCCGAGUUAGAUGACUUCUGUAGAGUGGCUUGAUCAAUAGAGACAAACGCGGCAAACCCUCAAAUCUCAAGUCUCUUUGCAUUCUGGACAAGGAAUACGUCCCGAAUGCAAAGGGACUUGAGAUUGUACCAUGGCAAUAAUACGUCCUUGACCUGAAAUUGACCAAAGAUAAAAGUACCAAUGGAUCAAUUCAAAGAACAAAGAUCAACGAGCAACACUCCAACAUGAAAACAAUAAUACAGGAAUAGAUAAAACACACUUAGAACAUAAUAAACUCCUCUCUUCUUGAAACGUAAUGGUUCAGCGCACAACAGGAGAGUUAAUUAGUUAUAAAGCGUACUGCAUCCUACACAACAGAAAUCUGAUCAGAAAUGAUACUGAAACUAUAAUAGGAAUAGUGAGUUGUAUAAACACAACAGCUACAUACCGAUCAAUAACAUCAAUUGGUGGACGAUAAUUUUUCAGACUUCGUUGGUUUUUUUUUUUUUUUCCAUUGUCAGCCAGUACAUAUCCAUUGCAAAUGAGAUUCUGAAAGGCAGGUUUGCCAAAUAAUGCAGUAGAUAACUCCACAGGAGCAUAGAACCUGCAUAUUCAGAAGGAAACAAUGAGGCCUAGCUUAGACAUUGGAAACUUGUGCUCAAGUUAGGAUAAAAGCUGACACAAAGGAAUCUAAUCCUACGAUAGGCGGCCGACAAUCAUUAUAUUAAUUAAAAAAGAACGAAAAAAAAACCUCACUGCCCCUCAAGUCUCAUAUACGGAACUUGAAAUUUAUACAUUAGAGUUUGCGGGAAUAGAAAUAAGUAACAUCAUCCUGACUUGAUCUCUCAGACCAAAAAACUGUAGGUGAGCAGAAAAGUAUCCCAACUAAAGAGUAUUAGCAUAUAAAUAGUUACCUUAAAAAAAAAAAAUUAUUGAAAUUUAACUGUCCCAAACGAAUCCCUAAACCCUAUAUGACACCAUGAAAGUGAAAGCUACAUCUAAUUGAAUUAGGAACGUGCAGAUAGAAAGGUAACCUUAUACUAUAACUGCCUCCCAGUAAACAGAUUAAAAGAGCAAUGUCUCUUUUCUCGUCAAUCGCCUUGCUUACCACGGAAACUGUUUCCAAAUGUCUACCCUUCACAUAUGCACCUGCUUCCCAAGAAAUAGUAUCUCCCGACAGUUCACUCACCAUCAGGGUCAAUGGCUUAUUACCAAAUAUAUACAAACAUGCACCAGACUAAUUGGCCUCUAAUUAGAAUAAUUUCAAACUUUUGAUGAAUCUGCCGUUUUGUUUUCAAACUUUUGAUGUAAUUAGAAAAUAAUUAGAAUAAUUUCAAACUUCAGGCCCUUUAACCUCUUGUGAUUGCACCUCACAUAGAUAUUUGUCAAGUUGUCGAGAAACUUUAAAAGAUAUGGAACCACCUCUAAAGUAUUGUAUACAAGAAUUAGAAUCAGAAGUGGAUUGUUUUAACUGAAACAAAGAUAUUUUAUUCAUAAACAAUGGAACUCAAAUAUAAUGCAAAACUGACAAGCUUUAACAAGAGAACAUAAAAACCACACAACCAAACUGCUUUUGGAAACCUCAAAAACCAGUUCCAAAAAGGAAUCUCAAAGAGAAUGCGAAUGAACUAGACUAAAAGAAAUCUCAAUUAUAAUGACAUUAAAUAAACAAGAUUGUAAUCGAAAAAAGCUACGAAAACGGCAAAUUGAACAAAUACAAGGCUAUGCCUGAUGAAAGUUAUGAAAGCUUCAGUUUCCUUGAGCUAAAGUAAGCAUGUGAAGCAAAAUCCUUGCACGAAAUUUAAGCUUCAAGUAAGCUUAAGUUUAUUAAAUUUUGAGUAAAAAAUAAAAGACAAUAUUUUCAGUAUUCAGAGUGUCAAGCAAACAAUUUGACAUCUUACCGGCUCAAUAAGCUCUAUGUCAUUCACUUCAGAGAGAGAGAGAGAGAGAGAGAGAGAGAGAGAGAGAGAGAGAGAGAGAGAGAGAGAGAGAGAGACGAACGUANNNNNNNNNNNNNNNNNNNNGAGAGAGAGAGAGAGGCUACAAGUCCAUACGGAAAUCUGAACAGAGAGAUCAUUUUGGACUUUAAGAAUUAAGAAAAUGUUGUAGUACAUCAGACCAUCACAAAAUCUACAUCAUGCCUCUCAUAAUUAGCUACACAUGAUUAACCAGUACAGCGACAAAAUAUAUAUCAACCAUUAAUCCGACACUGACUCAUUCAACUACGAAUACACAAUUUCAAUUUCAAUAAUGUUUUCAGAAUUUUCAAACACUGACCUUUGGAGUCCCCCACUGUUUCUUCAAACCAAAUCGGUUUCAAACACUCCAGAGUUCAAAAAUGGAUCAUAGAAAGAAAAUUGAUCUCCAUCUCUUCUCAAGCCUCUAUUGAUCCAAAUCCAUUCAUUACCACUACCUGAUACAAAAGCAAAGCAUGAACAUUCAUUGCAUUUUCCUGAAGAGACACAGAUUCAAUCGUAGGGAAACCGACAAUUGGAUAUAUAUAGUAAAAGGUAAAUAUACAUACAUGAACUUCUACAAUUGGAACACAUACAUGAACUUCUACAAUUGGAACUGUGGCCAUAGGCAUAAAAUACAUGAACAAUGGAAAACCGACUAUCAUUUUUUCUUUUCUAUAACUUCAGAAACCAUCAUUUUGGUUGCAUGUCCACAAAUCUAUCAAACUUCGAUACUACAUCAUUACCUGCUCUUUUCAACCGUGUAAGGCAUGCAAUAGCUUCUCACUUUUGAAUUAACAGAUGCAUACGUAGAAGUUGAGUAGUCAUACCACUUUGUACAUUCAUAUCUACCUCUGUUGGACGAUUUCCAACAAAACUGAAAAGAAACUUUUACAUUAGCCUAAAAGCACCCAGACAAAAAUUUACAAAGUUUACAUUAGCCUUAAAGUUUACAUCAGGAUUUCCAUCAAAAAUUUCACAGUUGGGAUAAAAUCAAGCUAUCCAUAUAGAUGCAACAGCAUGUAUAUCAAACCUAAAACUCACUUUCCAAGCAUCAGUUUUCAUAUAUAGUCAGUCCCAUUAAUACCAGCUCUCUAUAUUCAGAACCUUCCCACAGCAAACACCCAAAUUAUAACCAAUGCACAUUGCACUUCAGAUUAGUACUGUAUUUGUUCUUAAUUGAGCUCACAUCAAUACUUAUAUCUAAUUGAAGUCUUUAUUAGACUAACACAAACUUUAUAUAAGCAAAACUGGAACUUAAAUCAGAUAAGAAAAAAAACAAAGUCCUAACAAUACUCAUCUUUGCUGCUGCUGCAAAUUCUUGGUCAUCAGAAGUGCCUGCAUAUACAUCAGAUCAGAUCAGAUCAAAUUAAUGUGCUGUUAAAAUUUACCGAGUAACCAACAAAUCUCAUAUUGGGUUGAAAAAAAAAGAAGCAAAACAUAUUGAUAAACUACUUGUUCUCUAUCCCAAAACUGACCCUGUAAACACUCCCAACUCCUCAAUUCCCUAAAUUUGCUGUCAUAAUUGAAGUUGUUUGUUGCUGUAAGUUCCUUCAAGGUAAAGAGCAUCCAUGUCGGCUGCUUUUUUUCUUUUCUUUUUUUCUUUUUUCUUUUUUCUUUUUUUUACCUAUACAUCAGAUUACAAUCAUCAAAGCAUGUGGUUACUAAAAUUUUAUGACGAUCAAAUUUUGCACCUUCUUUGACUUAGUUCCCUCACACUGGUAAAAUCUGACAUAUUAGAAGUCAUUAUUUCUUUUCUUUUCUACAACUUCUGAAACUAUCAUUUUGAGUAAAUGAGCAUAACAACUUAGUAAACCAAAAGACAAAUAGGUCAUCACCUUCCUUGUGCAUAAGCAUAUAUAAAUGUAGCUUGCUUUAGCCUAAGUUGGACCAAUUUGAUAAUUAACAAAGGAUAGUAAUUUUAAAUUAUGGAAUGUGUUGACCUCUUCUUUGACACACCGACAUAAUGUCUGAUCUUCUACCAAUGCACCUUCUAUACCCUUUAUUUCUUCUCCAGUGCCUUCAUUGCUAAUAGAUAUAUGAUGAAACAUGUAUGUGAAUUCUAAAUACAGGAUAAAUCCUCACAAUAUGCAGCAGAAACAUUACCUGAUUGUUGUGACAUCCCGUGAACCUACAAAAUUAAUAGUGGGAGUUAAAGAUCGGUCACCACGAUCAAUUGACUUCAAUUUAUUUGUGGAUUUUGGGGGUAAAAUUGUGUAACCAAAAGUAAAAUUUUAGACAACUGAAAGAAACCCAUGUUAUAGUAUUACACCAAGUAAAGAAACUCAAUUUCCAUUUUAUUGAACCGAAAGGGAAAAAAAAUUACCCUCACAAUUUCAUGGCGGACAACCCAGACCCCCUCCUCUCUCGCUGUCUAAAUCCAACAAACAAUCACGGUCUGACUUCAAAACCUCAAACAAAACAACAUCAGUGUAAACCCAGACUACUACAUAGCAAUUACAAAGAAAUUGAAUUAGUUUACCAUAGAUGGUUUCCCUGAGAUUGAAAUAAGGUCAAUAAUUCCACAGGUGCACAGAUGAAAAAAGUUACCUUCACUGAGAACUCCUUUCGCAAAGAUCUCUACACCGGUAUGGGUGGUUUUUGUUACUGAAGAUUUUGCUGGCCUUUUCUGCAAGCAGGAGUGAUGAAGAUCAAAAUUCUACCACUACCCAGAUUUUUCGAUCACUGGAAGCUGAUGAAGCGGUGCGAAAACGAAAGAAGAAUAAAGAUAGUGAGCGGAAGAAUAAAGACAGGAAAAGAAAGGUGUCGAGAUAUCUGGAAGAUUCAGAGGCGGCAAGAGAGAAAAGCUCUGAUAUCUAAACCCUAGCAAGAUGCCCGCGCGUUGCAGUGGGACUUUGGCAUAUUUCUGCUUGUGAUAGCUCCAAUGUUUCAAGCAACCACAAAUAUACUUAAGCUUGUUAAUAGACAGCAGCCCAUUCACAUUGUUUAUUAGGUCGACCCAGAAACUAAGAAAGNNNNNNNNNNNNNNNNNNNNAAAAGAAAAAAAAAAAGUAGAACAAUAAAUUCCAUGAAGGCGCAUCUAACAAAAAGAAAAAUAUGGAAAAUCAUGAAAUCCGAUGAAUGAAUUUUUAACCUCUUUGUCACACAGUAGCUUUGCUAAGUAGCUCUUUCAACCUCUUGCAAUUCCAUCAUUUAGAAUUGCUGGAUUUGGUAGCUCUUUCAACCUCUUCUAUGCUCUUUUUUUUUUGUGUAAACUGUGCUCCCAAGUGUCUUGGACAAAUCAAUCUGCAUAAUUAUGUGGAAGAUGCAGGGUCAUUUAUCAUUCUUGCAGUUUUUAAUGUAUGUCAUACUGAGGAAAUCUUAUAAUGAUUUCCACAUCAGUUAGUUGCAAGUGGUUGGUCCUCUACAUCAGUCCUAUUUGUCUGAGAGUCGAAAUUAAACAAACGCAGAUUAGAGUCUGGUAAAGCCUAGGGGUGACGAAGGCGCAGAAGCAAUCAAAUAGACAGGAAAAAAAACAGAAAGAAGUUAAGCGCACUACCUAAAUUUGUUUGAGAUGAAAAGGUUGAUCUUCUUGGAUGGCGUAAGCUCCUUAAUCCAAGUAGUCUGGCUUCUAUAGAAGAAAGAGUUGACAGCAAACAUCUUUGGAAGAAAAUGAAUGCCUUUCUGUAGCUGAAGCUUGGGCUUUUCUAAAUCUCAGGCACUGCUCACAAAACUUAUACAAUGAAAUAACAGUAGACAUGUGAGUUGAUCUUAUCAUGAUUGCUCAUAAAACCCAUUUAUAUAUAUAUAUAUAAACCAAUGUCAAUUUUGCAUUCCUUUUAUAGUGUAAGAAGCUACCCUCGAUUUUUCAAUUCAAGAAAAUGCCAGAGUAAAAACAAUAAGAAAGUAGAUCCUUACACUGGUUGACUGUAAGAGAAACCAAUCGAUUGAUAUAACUAAAAACACAUAUUGCUGCUUUCCAUGUUACAUGCACAGUAAUAUAAUUAGAAGCGCUGAACUAAAAAGUAAUGUAAUUAAUAUACCUUUUCAGAUUUGAUAUGCCAAGAAUGAUCCAAAAGUUUUCACCAGCAAAAAGGAUGCACAUUGAGAUUUUUUCUAAAACAUUGUGCAUCUCACACUGAAGGCAUGUAAAUUGCAGUCUAUGAAUUGGAUAUACCUGUGACGCAGACCACUUUUAAACACUUCUUUUCAAGCAACAACAGCUUGUACCUGAAGCAACGCAUAUAGAAAAAGAUGAUAAGCAUAAGACCAUAAACAACUAUAAGCGCACUUUAACAGUUAAGGAAAAUUAACAAUAUCAUUUCCAUAGGGUUUUUACAUCUGAUGAAACUUCUACCCUAAGAUUGGGUAAUGUAAGUCAUACAGAAAAGCUGAAAACUAAAUAACUCGAUGCAACAAAGCAGGUUUUUUUUUCACUUCUUGUUUUUCGCUGACAGUUUUUUCUUCACUUUCAUGACACAAAGAAAUGAAUAUUCAAUGCAGAACCUCAAUUCAUUACUAUCAAUAUAAUAAACUAAUUGAGCUCACAUCAAUACUUAUAUCUAAUUGAAAUCUUUAUUAGACCAACGCAUACUUUAUAAAAGCAAAAUUGGAACAUAAAUCAGAUAAAAAAAAAAAAUAACAGAGUUCUAACAAUACUCAUCUUUACUGCACCCUUGUCACCAAUCUGUCAAACCUCUAGUCUUUGCUUGAGCCACACAGCUUCCCCAAAAGUACCAACCUGAGUAUACAAACACGAAUUACAUUUAAAGGAUUGGCCAUUUAUAGAUAUAAUCACACUGAAUUAAAGACCUAAAGUAGAUUGGCCAUUUAUAAGGACAUCUAGUAUAAUAACCGCACUAUCUGUUACAAACUAAAUUCAUUUAGUAGAUGCUCAUUUGUUAUAAUUCAUAUAAGAUCCCAAACCCUAAAAGAAAUAUGAAAUUCACCAAAUUAAGUGAAAUAGAAGGUUCCCACUUAUGUAAUAUAGAAAAUAAAGAUGGAUUCACAAACAACACAGAAAUCAUAUUCUUGAAAUUUCUUUAAUAUCAAAACUACAACUCCCAUCAAUCCACUGAUUAAGUCAAGGUUAUCGAUCAAGUCCUGCUCUAUCUUAUACAGCCACAAAACACAUAACUAAAUACCUUCAGGUGAAAGGCGGAAUGAAUGAGGCCAAGACUGUUUACUAAAAUCAGAUCAAAUGCAAUGCAACGGGCGCUCCAAUAAAUAUACGCUGUGGAUUGGAUAAAACAAAUCCAAAUUUCAUAAAACCGAAAGAACAGAGAGAAAUUCCACAUCCUCAUAAGUAAAGUACUAUUACAACUGUAAAACAUAUCAUGCUCCAUGCAGAUACGAUAGGUAUGUCAAGGAAAUCAAAAGCCAACAAUGGACAUCCCGUUGGCUUCCAAAUGAAAAAUUUGUCCUCAAAAUGAGCUAUUGACGUAAAUAUUGCGAAAACAAUGGUAAGAACAGGUAAAUUUCCGGGGAAGUUUCUCCAUGGAGAAUUGGACGCACCCGGGGAAAAAAAAAAGGUAUAUAAGAAAGAUAAUAUUUGUUUAGAAUUUUUACACGUUUAGUACGUGAUUGAUGGUAUGCAUGUCACUUUGAUGUAGUAGACAACAUACGGCCAUGAAACAUUAUUGAAUCCCGAACUCAGACCCAAGCUUUUUUUAAAACACAGACAGGAAGAUGACCAAAACACAAACAAAACAUCAUAAUCAAUUUCAAAUUGAAAUGCAGAAGUCCAAAACCCGCUACGUUUAAACGCACCAACCUUGAAAUCAGUUUAUCAUUUACUAUAUCACUGAGCAUGUCUUUUACAAUUGAUUCAUUCUCCUAAUGGUUCAAAAAAUCAUGUGUACGUCAUAUUUGUUCUAACCAUUAGUAGCCAUAGUCCAGCUCAAUCUUCAAUAGUGCUUGUCUUUGUAUGUUUAACAGUUGUCGUGCAAAAAUGAAACUGUUUAGCUCAUAAUCAAAGCGAUAUAUAUUUUUUCAUGAUCAUAAUUAGGAAAAUGCACAUGUGAAGAUUAAAUGUCUUGUAUUUAUUCAGCUAAGUGUAGGCAUUGUUCUUUUAAGAGACAAAAAAACAAAAAUGAACUAUAGUUUUCUCCCAGCCUUGCAAACUUUCAUUUAAAUAUGCAGACUUGAAAAGUCUAAUAGAACUUAUUUAACUUAAAAAGAUAAUUAGCCAGCUAAAAGCAUUUAAAACAAUAGGAUAACAAUGCCUAUGUUUGAAAAGAUAAUGACUGCCGAAGAUCAAAGCAAUUGAGCUAGUACUUACAUUCACCAUCUUUAGUUUCCAGCCAGGUCCAGUUAUGGAUAGAACCAAAUGAAAAGGUUAAGAAAUACGGAGACAUUAGAGCACAUAAAAGCACUGGUUUUCAAAACACUAUCUUGUCUUUUAACAUACCCAUCUCAGGAGGGAGGUAAUCAAGAGUGCCACACAUGGUCUGACUGCGAUUGAAUGUAUGCACUAACCACCCCAAAUCUGCUAUCUUGAGUUCACCCUGACAUUAGAAAUCCACAUUGACAUGAUAAGCAAUAAGUAUGCAUCAAUAAGUCGUAAAAAGGAUACACAUAACAGCAUAGUAAGGUAUUCAGCACCUGUUGACCAAUGAGAAGGUAUUAGAAAUCCACAUUGACAUGAUAAGCAAUAAGUAUGCAUCAAUAAGUCGUAAAAAGGAUACACAUAACAGCAUAGUAAGGUAUUCAGCACCUGUUGACCAAUGAGAAGGUUUUCUGGUUUGAUAUCUAGAUAAAUUAAGUGC